rnacentral:rRNA from 1 species
AACGAACGCUGGCGGCAGGCUUAACACAUGCAAGUCGAGCGCCCCGCAAGGGGAGCGGCAGACGGGUGAGUAACGCGUGGGAACAUGCCCUUUGGUUAGGAAUAACUCAGGGAAACUUGAGCUAAUACCGGAUAAGCCCGAGAGGGGAAAGAUUUAUCGCCGAAGGAUUGGCCCGCGUCCGAUUAGCUAGUUGGUGAGGUAAUGGCUCACCAAGGCGACGAUCGGUAGCUGGUCUGAGAGGAUGAUCAGCCACACUGGGACUGAGACACGGCCCAGACUCCUACGGGAGGCAGCAGUGGGGAAUAUUGGACAAUGGGGGCAACCCUGAUCCAGCCAUGCCGCGUAAGUGAUGAAGGCCCUAGGGUUGUAAAGCUCUUUCGGCGGGGACGAUAAUGACGGUACCCGCAGAAGAAGCCCCGGCUAACUUCGUGCCAGCCGCCGCGGUAAUAC